rnacentral:rRNA from 1 species
GACGAACGCUGGCGGCGUGCCUAAUACAUGCAAGUUGAGCGCUGAAGGUUGGUACUUGUACCAACUGGAUGAGCAGCGAACGGGUGAGUAACGCGUGGGGAAUCUGCCUUUGAGCGGGGGACAACAUUUGGAAACGAAUGCUAAUACCGCAUAAAAACUUUAAACACAAGUUUUAAGUUUGAAAGAUGCAAUUGCAUCACUCAAAGAUGAUCCCGCGUUGUAUUAGCUAGUUGGUGAGGUAAAGGCUCACCAAGGCGAUGAUACAUAGCCGACCUGAGAGGGUGAUCGGCCACAUUGGGACUGAGACACGGCCCAAACUCCUACGGGAGGCAGCAGUAGGGAAUCUUCGGCAAUGGACGAAAGUCUGAACGAGCAACGCCGCGUGAGUGAAGAAGGUUUUCGGAUCGUAAAACUCGGUUGGUAGAGAAGAACGUUGGUGAGAGUGGAAAGCUCAUCAAGUGACGGUAACUACACAGAAAGGGACGGCUAACUACGUG